CCAGUUGAGUAGAUAUUUCAUCCGAUUGGUAGUCUCAGGAACUUAUUUGGAUGUCUCUCUGCAUGGAGGUUGGAGUCCCCAAACUUCCAAUUCCUCUCUCCUCUUUUCCUUCUCCUUUGCAUACCUUGCAUAUCCUCUAUCUUCCCUUUGUCUUAACUUUUAAAGGGCCAGACUCUCUGUAUGUCAUCAGUUGAUAACCCAAUAGAAGCACUAGAGGUGUGGUUAUCUUCCAGAUCGCAAUUUAGUUAUUUGGUCUAUAGAGGGCAGUCUUGUCCCACUAAACAUACCUAUCCAGGAAAGAGUUAACUUUUCCUGGUGGCUAUUUUGACGUCAUUUUGGCCUAUCUAGAUAGUGGCCAUAACUUACGUAUCCUUCACAGAUCAAAAGGGUUUCUUUAAGUUUUGUCCAGACUAUGUGUCUGGCAAAUCCUGCUAUAAUUUCUAAAAUGGCAGAUCAUGAACUAAGUUUAACCUUAAACUUACAAUGGUACCUUAUAUAUAUAUAUAUA